CUCUCACCCAAAAAUCAUAUUUUUCUUCCUCCUUUUCCUAACCUGCACGUUAUCUCCCUCUUUCUCAUGCUAUCCACCAAAAAUCAACACUUCACCAUGGAAUCAUCAUGCUUAUGUGUUUUGCUUGAGUUAUGGAAGAAGUAGAACCUCUAAACAACUUGUUCUCUCAUUCUUCCUCUCCUAAGAAGUUCAUUCAAGUGAUCCUAGCAUGGUUUGAAGGAGUUAGAGCUAAGAUGGUGAUCAUGUAGAGAGAAUUGAAGUUUGUGUUGUAUUUUGAGCUAGAGGCAAGCUUGAGCAAGAUUAAGGCAAGACACCAAGAGCUAGGGUUUGGCUUGGCAAGAAGAUAGAGGCAGGGGCUGAAUGUUGAAACUGAAUGGACUGAAAUGGGAAUUUUUGUAUAUGCUGAUCGAUGAAAUAGGAAUAUGUCACAAGUGGGUUGGGCUGUUUCGGAAAAGGCAAGACCUACAAGUCAAGGCAUAAGCUGUUUUGGAGAUAGCAGAAGCUGCAGAUUUUGGAUAAGUUGCUUUGCAAUUUCUGGGAGUAAUUUAAGAUAUUCAGGUUACCAGACGACAUAAUGGUUCGUGAUGAAGAAACAGAAGUCGCUGGACUAAAGUUCGCGUCAGUGGUAUUAUUUCAAAGGUAUAAGACGAGAACUUCCAUAUCUUAUUCAGAAGAAUUUUUUAUUAUUCUAAUUUUAAUGUAUCCAAUGCCAAGUUUAACAUAAAUGCUAGAUAAAUCCUAGGUAAUUUCUAGUAGGGGUGUUAUAGUCCCCUUCCCUUUUUUUUCGGUGGUGAGCAAUUAAGGGAGAGACUAUUUUGUUAAAUCCUUAUAACUUGAAUGACAAACAGCGAUACAUAGACCGUACUUCUAUUCA